rnacentral:rRNA from 1 species
GGUGAACCAGCGGAGGGAUCAUUACUGAGUUACCGCUCUACAACCCUUUGUGAACAUACCUAACCGUUGCUUCGGCGGGCAGGGGAAGCCUCUCGCGGGCCUCCCCUCCCGGCGCCGGCCCCACCACGGGGACGGGGCGCCCGCCGGAGGAAACCAAACUCUAUUUACACGACGUCUCUUCUGAGUGGCACAAGCAAAUAAUUAAAACUUUUAACAACGGAUCUCUUGGUUCUGGCAUCGAUGAAGAACGCAGCGAAAUGCGAUAAGUAAUGUGAAUUGCAGAAUUCAGUGAAUCAUCGAAUCUUUGAACGCACAUUGCGCUCGCCAGCAUUCUGGCGAGCAUGCCUGUUCGAGCGUCAUUUCAACCCUCAAGCACCGCUUGGUUUUGGGGCCCCACGGCAGACGUGGGCCCUUAAAGGUAGUGGCGGACCCUCCCGGAGCCUCCUUUGCGUAGUAACUAACGUCUCGCACUGGGAUCCGGAGGGACUCUUGCCGUAAAACCCCCAAAUUCUUUACAGGUUGACCUCGGAUCAGGUAGGAAUACCCGCUGA